AGCGAACGCUGGCGGCAGGCCUAACACAUGCAAGUCGAACGAACCUUUCGGGGUUAGUGGCGGACGGGUGAGUAACACGUGGGAACGUGCCUUUAGGUUCGGAAUAACUCAGGGAAACUUGUGCUAAUACCGAAUGUGCCCUUCGGGGGAAAGAUUUAUCGCCUUUAGAGCGGCCCGCGUCUGAUUAGCUAGUUGGUUGAGGUAAUGGCUCACCAAGGCGACGAUCAGUAGCUGGUCUGAGAGGAUGAUCAGCCACAUUGGGACUGAGACACGGCCCAAACUCCUACGGGAAGCAGCAGUGGGGAAUCUUGCGCAAUGGGCGAAAGCCUGACGCAGCCAGCCCGCGUGAAUGAUGAAGGUCUUAGGAUUGUAAAAUUCUUUCACCGGGGACGAUAAUGACGGUACCCGGAGAAGAAGCCCCGGCUAACUUCGUG
rnacentral:rRNA from 1 species